GAUGAACGCUAGCGGCAGGCCUAAUACAUGCAAGUCGAACGGUGUCUUCGGACAUAGUGGCGCACGGGUGCGUAACACGUAUGCAACCUACCUUACAUUGGGGGAUAGCCUUUCGAAAGGGAGAUUAAUACCGCAUAAGACAGUAGCUGGGCAUCCAGCAGCUGUUAAAGAUUUAUCGAUGUAAGCUGGGCAUGCGUCCAAUUAGGUAGUUGGUGAGGUAACGGCUCACCAAGGCAAUGAUUGGUAGGGGAACUGAGAGGUCAAUCCCCCACACGGGCACUGAGAGACGGGCCAGACUCCUACGGGAGGCAGCAGUAGGGAAUAUUGGGCAAUGGACGCAAGUCUGACCCAGCCAUGCCGCGUGCAGGAUGAAGGCGUUAUGCGUUGUAAACUGCGUUUAUACAGGAAGAAACGACUCUUGCGAGAGGCAUUGACGGUACUGUAUGAAUAAGCACCGGCUAACUACGUGCCAGCCGCCGCAGUAAGAC
rnacentral:rRNA from 1 species